UACGGAGGGUGCAAGCGUUAUCCGGAUUCACUGGGUUUAAAGGGUGCGUAGGCGGCCCUGUAAGUCAGUGGUGAAAUACUGCAGCUUAACUGUAGCAUUGCCAUUGAUACUGUAGGGCUUGAGUACAGAUGAGGUAGGCGGAAUUGAUGGUGUAGCGGUGAAAUGCAUAGAUACCAUCAAGAACACCGAUUGCGAAGGCAGCUUACUAAGCUGUAACUGACGCUGAGGCACGAAAGCGUGGGGAUCGAACAGG
rnacentral:rRNA from 1 species